GCUCCCAUGGCGUAGUGGUCACUGCGCUCGUCUUGCACGCGGGAGACCCGGGCUCGAUUCCCGGCGGAAUCA
rfam:Asian citrus Psyllid, Diaphorina citri - Florida Strain, whole genome shotgun sequence.